UACGGGGGGGGUAAGCGUUGUUCGGAAUUACUGGGCGUAAAGGGUGCGUAGGCGGCGCGGUAAGUCGGGUGUGAAAUCUUGGAGCUUAACUCCGAAACUGCAUUCGAUACUGCCGUGCUUGAGGACUGGAGAGGAGACUGGAAUUUACGGUGUAGCGGUGAAAUGCGUAGAUAUCGUAAGGAAGACCAGUGGCGAAGGCGGGUCUCUGGACAGUUCCUGACGCUGAGGCACGAAGGCCAGGGGAGCAAACGGG
rnacentral:rRNA from 1 species